CAGCCGCCGCGGUAAUACGGAGGGUGCAAGCGUUAUCCGGAUUCACUGGGUUUAAAGGGUGCGUAGGUGGGCAGGUAAGUCAGUGGUGAAAUCUCCGGGCUUAACCCGGAAACUGCCAUUGAUACUAUCUGUCUUGAAUACCGUGGAGGUGAGCGGAAUAUGUCAUGUAGCGGUGAAAUGCUUAGAUAUGACAUAGAACACCAAUUGCGAAGGCAGCUCACUACGCGAAUAUUGACACUGAGGCACGAAAGCGUGGGGAUCAAACAGG
rnacentral:rRNA from 1 species